rnacentral:rRNA from 1 species
ACGAGACCUAACCUUCGGGUGAAAGUCUAGUGGCGCACGGGUGCGUAACACGUGGGAAUCUACCUUGGGGUACGGAAUAACGCAGAGAAAUUUGUGCUAAUACCGUAUAAUGACUUCGGUCCAAAGAUUUAUCGCCCUUAGAUGAGCCCGCGCAAGAUUAGCUAGUUGGUGAGGUAAAAGCUCACAAAGGCGACGAUCUUUAGCUGGUCUGAGAGGAUGAUCAGCCACACUGGGACUGAGACACGGCCCAGACUCCUACGGGAGGCAGCAGUGGGGAAUAUUGGACAAUGGGCGAAAGCCUGAUCCAGCAAUGCCGCGUGAGUGAUGAAGGCCUUAGGGUUGUAAAGCUCUUUUACUAGGGAUGAUAAUGACAGUACCUAGAGAAUAAGCUCCGGCUAACUCCGUGCCAGCAGCCGCGGUAAUACGGAGGGAGCUAGCGUUGUUCGGAAUUACUGGGCGUAAAGCGCGCGUAGGCGGUUAUCCAAGUCAGAGGUGAAAUCCCGGAGCUUAACUCCGGAACUGCCUUUGAAACUAGAUAACUAGAAUCUUGGAGAGGCGAGUGGAAUUCCGAGUGUAGAGGUGAAAUUCGUAGAUAUUCGGAAGAACACCAGUGGCGAAGGCGACUCGCUGGACAAGUAUUGACGCUGAGGU